rnacentral:rRNA from 1 species
UACGAAGGGUGCAAGCGUUACUCGGAAUUACUGGGCGUAAAGCGUGCGUAGGUGGUUUGUUAAGUCUGUUGUGAAAGCCCCGGGCUCAACCUGGGAAUGGCAAUGGAUACUGGCAAGCUAGAGUGCGGUAGAGGGUAGUGGAAUUCCCGGUGUAGCGGUGAAAUGCGCAGAUAUCAGGAGGAACACCAAUAGCGAAGGCAGCUCGCUAGGACGGUACUGACGCUAAGGCGCGAAAGCGUGGGGAGCGAACAGG